GACGCAGCAAAGGAAGGAGUUAAGACAUGGAGAGAUUAAGUUCAAAAACAGCUUUGGACAUCAUGUGAAGGAUCCCAAGCCACGAACCAACGCUACACCCUACGUGCCUCCCUCCCCCCAACGUUUGCUUUCUGCCAGUUACAUUAUGCAGGCUGUCAAGGUGGCCGGUGGAAUACAAGGGCAAAUGUUGCUAAGAAGCCUACCACUGUGGUGAUCACCCUUACAGACGUAGUGUUGAACACAAUUCUGAUUGAGAAAGCCAUUCCUAAAAACAAAAAAAGUAUGUUUGCUAGGAUGAAAUAUUUCUAUUUCUAAGUGAAGGACUUUGGAUGAAUUUUAAGAUUUUCAUGCAUUAGUACGUGAAAAAAUAUGUUCAAAAUGAUUA
rnacentral:lncRNA from 1 species